AUACGCGGUUUUAUAGGAAUACAAAGUUCUCUUGCGGAAAAGAGAAAAUGUAAAUAUAACAUUUAAGAAAAUUUGCUUUGUUUCCCCCCAAACUUUAAUUUUAAACAACCCUGAAACGCUUCUUAGAAAAAGCGAAGAACAAUGGCGGAUUUGAGAGAGUACUAUCAAAACGAAGACGAAGAGGAUUCGUUCAUUGAUAUGUUGCACGCUUUGUACUCCAUUUAACUUACUUAUAUUAAAUUAAAUAUAAAUUCCUAAUUACUUUUAAAUCCAUAGGUGCUUACAAAACCAGUGGCCGCGACAGUCUGGCGUUUCUGGUUGAUGGAUCCAAAGAAAUGUUCAUCAAAAGAGCAAGAACCCAAGAAACUUCUUCAAGCAUGUCUACAUCUACCACGCCUACCUGCUUCACCUGGAGCCAAGCAAGAAAGUAGCUCAGUUGGCUGAAAAGACCAUGGGCAGUGGGGAUGUCCAAAUACUCACACUUGAGAGCGUGCGCACAUGACAGGAAGUAAUUGUGUCCCAGAUCUUAAAAAUGGCAAAACGCAGUACCCUUAAUGCACACUAAAUCCACAUUAUCUCGAAUACCGCUCCAGAGCGCUAUUCAAGGCUUAGUGUAUCCCAUCAUGCAUCAUGUUAAUGGAAAUAAAUCGUGAGACUUUUUACAGAUCUCUUGAGAGGUCACGGAAACCUUUGUAAAGUAUGUGAAAUAUUAAUAAUAAUUAGAUAUUAUAUAUGAUUUGGUAGAAAAACAGUGUUUUUAUUUUUUAUUGGUGCAGAGAUGAGUAGUGGUGAUAUUUAUUUUGUACAACAUUUUUAACCUUAUUUUAUCACUUAAUUAGAAGCACCACAUGUUAAAAUUGUCAUGUUAUAGGGACUACUGAACAGACAUUUAGAAGUUGAUUUUAAAAUGCAAAGUAUUUAAAUUUUUUAUUAAAUUAAACCUAUUUAAACACUUGUGUCCCAUCAGGUAAUGAAAAGUUUGACACACACUUGUGGUCUUCAUGUGGUCUGGUUCUUUUAAAAGAGGACUCAAGUGUGAAAAGACCCUAAUUUAGGAGCUAAGACCUAGUCCUUACACUUAUGUUAUGAAUCACACUUAUUCCUAAGUGUAGAAAUAAAAGCAAGACGACAUCAUUCUCACAGUUUUGACACACUUGAAGUUUAUUACUUGAAAUUAUACUUGGUUUCACUGCAAAGUUUUGUUCUGUGUAUAAAUGUGUAUGUGACAAAUAAAAAUUAUGAAUUA